CCUACGGGUGGCAGCAGUGGGGAAUAUUGGGCAAUGGGCGAAAGCCUGACCCAGCAACGCCGCGUGAAGGAAGAAGGCUUUCGGGUUGUAAACUUCUUUUGACAGGGAAGAGCAGAAGACGGUACCUGUCGAAUAAGCCACGGCUAACUACGUGCCAGCAGCCGCGGUAAUACGUAGGUGGCAAGCGUUGUCCGGAUUUACUGGGGGUAAAGGGCGUGUAGCCGGGCUGACAAGUCAGAUGUGAAAUCCGGGGGCUCAACCCCCGAACUGCAUUUGAAACUGUUUUUCUUGAGUACCGGAGAGGUCAUCGGAAUUCCUUGUGUAGCGGUGAAAUGCGUAGAUAUAAGGAAGAACACCAGUGGCGAAGGCGGAUGACUGGACGGCAACUGACGGUGAGGCGCGAAAGCGUGGGGAGCAAACAGGAUUAGAUACCCCGGUAGUC
rnacentral:rRNA from 1 species